GAUGAACGCUGGCGGCAUGCCUAAUACAUGCAAGUCGAACGAGAGGAAGGAAAGCUUGCUUUUCUGAAUCUAGUGGCGAACGGGUGAGUAACACGUAGGUAACCUGCCCAUGUGCCCGGGAUAACUUCUGGAAACGGAUGCUAAAACCGGAUAGGUAGCAGACAAGCAUUUGACUGCUAUUAAAGUGGCUAAGGCCAUGAACAUGGAUGGACCUGCGGUGCAUUAGCUAGUUGGUGAGGUAACGGCCCACCAAGGCGACGAUGCAUAGCCGGCCUGAGAGGGCGGACGGCCACAUUGGGACUGAGACACGGCCCAAACUCCUACGGGAGGCAGCAGUAGGGAAUUUUCGUCAAUGGGGGGAACCUUGAACGAGCAAUGCCGCGUGAGUGAAGAAGGUCUUCGGAUCGUAAAGCUCUGUUGUAAGAGAAAAACGACAUUCAUAGGGAAUGAUGAGUGAGUGAUGGUAUCUUACCAGAAAGUCACGGC
rnacentral:rRNA from 1 species